rnacentral:rRNA from 1 species
AAAAGUGAAAGACGGUCUUGCUGUCACUUAUAGAUGGAUCCGCGCUGCAUUAGCUAGUUGGUAAGGUAACGGCUUACCAAGGCAACGAUGCAUAGCCGACCUGAGAGGGUGAUCGGCCACACUGGAACUGAGACACGGUCCAGACUCCUACGGGAGGCAGCAGUAGGGAAUCUUCCGCAAUGGGCGAAAGCCUGACGGAGCAACGCCGCGUGAGUGAUGAAGGUCUUCGGAUCGUAAAACUCUGUUAUUAGGGAAGAACAUAUGUGUAAGUAACUGUGCACAUCUUGACGGUACCUAAUCAGAAAGCCACGGCUAACUACGUGCCAGCAGCCGCGGUAAUACGUAGGUGGCAAGCGUUAUCCGGAAUUAUUGGGCGUAAAGCGCGCGUAGGCGGUUUUUUAAGUCUGAUGUGAAAGCCCACGGCUCAACCGUGGAGGGUCAUUGGAAACUGGAAAACUUGAGUGCAGAAGAGGAAAGUGGAAUUCCAUGUGUAGCGGUGAAAUGCGCAGAGAUAUGGAGGAACACCAGUGGCGAAGGCGACUUUCUGGUCUGUAACUGACGCUGAUGUGCGAAAGCGUGGGGAUCAAACAGGAUUAGAUACCCUGGUAGUCCA